AUUGAACGCUGGCGGCAGGCCUAACACAUGCAAGUCGAACGAGUGGCGGACGGGUGAGUAAUGUCUGGGAAACUGCCUGAUGGAGGGGGAUAACUAUUGGAAACGGUAGCUAAUACCGCAUAAUAUUAGCAGGACCUGCGUGGUAUUAGCUGGUAGGGGGGGUAAUGGCCUACCUAGGCGACGAUACAUCGCGGACCUGAGAGGGGGACCAGCCACACUGGAACUGAGACACGGUCCAGACUCCUACGGGAGGCAGCAGUGGGGAAUAUUGCACAAUGGGCGCAAGCCUGAUGCAGCCAUGCCGCGUGUAUGAAGAAGGCCUUCGGGUUGUAAAGUACUUUCAGCGGGGAGGCGUUACCCGCAGAAGAAGCACCGGCUAACUCCGUGCCAGCAGCCGCGGUAAUUC
rnacentral:rRNA from 1 species